rnacentral:rRNA from 1 species
CCUACGGGUGGCAGCAGUGAGGAAUAUUGGUCAAUGGCCGGGAGGCUGAACCAGCCAAGUCGCGUGAGGGAAGACGGCCUACGGGUUGUAAACCUCUUUUGUCAGGGAGCAAGGUGCAGGUCCGGACCUGCUGUGAGAGUACCUGAAGAAAAAGCAUCGGCUAACUCCGUGCCAGCAGACGCGGUAAUACGGAGGAUGCGCGCGUUUUCCGGUUUUAUUGGGUUUAAAGGGGUCGCAGGCGGAGGCACAAAUCCGCGGUAAAAUCGCGGGGCUCAACCCCGCGCCGCCGUUGAAACUGUGUCCCUUGAGUGCGCGAAGGGUAGGCGGAAUGCGUGGUGUAGCGGUGAAAUGCAUAGAUAUCACGCAGAACUCCGAUCGCGAAGGCAGCCUACCGGUGCACAACUGACGCUCAGGCACGAAAGCGUGGGUAUCGAACAGGAUUAGAUACCCUAGUAGUU